GGGUCUGUGGGGUAGUUUGGCCUAUCCUCCGUGGUUCGGGACCACGGGACUGCGGUUCAAAUCCGCACAGACCCA
rnacentral:tRNA from 1 species